GCAUGGCACCGUCGCGCAAGAAGAGCAACAGCUGCAGCUUGGCACCGUGCAACAAGGCGGCGGCUCGACGGAGUCCGAGUCCCACCACCAGCGCAAGAUCAGUCUAAUUCCGCUCGUCUUCCUCAUCUACUUCGAGGUGGCGGGCGGUCCGUAUGGCUCCGAGAAGGCGGUAUCCCGGAGUCGCUCGGCUUCCUCAUCUUUCCCCUAGCGUGGGGUAUCCCGGAGUCGCUCGUCACCGCCGAGCUCGCUGCCGCCUUCCCGGGCAACGGCGGCUUCGUUCUGUGGGCGGACCAUGCCUUCGGCCCGCUCGCAGGUUCGCUUCUUGGCACGUGGAAGUACCUCAGCAUCACCAUCAACAUCGCCGCCUACCCGGCCCUCGUCGCCGACUACCUCGGCGGCGUGGCCCCCGCGAUCGCGGAGCCCGGCAGGGCGCGCACGGGCGCGGUGAUCGGCAUGACGCUGCUCCUCUCCUUGUUGAACUACGCCGGCCUGAGCGUCGUUGGGUGGGGCGCCAUGGUGCUCGGGGUGGUGUCGCUGGCCCCGUUCGUGCUGAUGACGGCGAUGGCGGUGCCCAAGUUACGGCCGCGCCGGUGGGCGUCGCAGGUGGAGGGGAGGAAGAAGGACUGGAGGCUCUUCUUCAACACCUUGUACUGGAACCUCAACUACUGGGACAGCGCGAGCACCAUGGCCGGCGAGGUAGAGCGGCCGGGGCGGACGUUCCCGCGGGCCCUGGCGGCGGCGGUCGUUCUCAUCGCCGUCAGCUACCUGUUGCCGCUCAUGGCCGCGAUCGGCGCCACGGACGCAUCACCGGAUGCGUGGGUGAACGGCUACCUGGCAGAUGCCGCAGGCAUCAUCGGGGGACCAUGGCUAAAGUACUGGACGGGGGCUAGCGCAGUGAUCUCCUCCAUAGGCAUGUUUGAGGCCCAGAUGAGCAGCGGUGCAUUUCAGCUCCUCGGCAUGGCGGACCUGGGCUUCCUCCCGACCAUCUUCUCCCAUCGCGGCGCCCGCACUAGGACCCCAUGGGUUGCCAUCACCGCAUCGACCGUCAUAACGAUCGCCGUCUCCUUCCUUGGGUUCGACGACGUCAUAGCAACAUCCAACUUCAUGUAUGGCCUCGGCACGUUGCUUGAGUUCGCAUCCUUUCUAUGGCUUCGAGUUAGGCAUCCUGCACUGAAACGUCCCUACCGCGUGCCGCUACCAGUUCCCGCACUUGUGGUCAUGUGCAUCGUGCCAUUAUCGUUCCUCGCCUACGUGUGUGUGGUGGCCAGGUGGAGGGUACUCGCCAUCGCCGCGGGGCUGACCACACUCGGCAUUGGGUGGCACGGUGUCAUGAGGAUGUGUAGAGUCAAGAAGUUACUUAGUUUCAACAAUGUUUAG
rnacentral:rRNA from 1 species